GAUGAACGCUGGCGGCGUGCCUAAUACAUGCAAGUCGAGCGAACAGACGAGGAGCUUGCUCCUCUGACGUUAGCGGCGGACGGGUGAGUAACACGUGGAUAACCUACCUAUAAGACUGGGAUAACUUCGGGAAACCGGCGCUAAUCCCGGAUAAUAUAUUGAACCGCAUGGUUCAAUAGUGAAAGACGGUUUUGCUGUCACUUAUAGAUGGAUCCGCGCCGCAUUAGCUAGUUGGUAAGGUAACGGCUUACCAAGGCAACUAUGCGUAGCCGACCUGAGAGGGUGAUCGGCCACACUGGAAGUGAGACGGGGCCCAGAGUCCUACGGGAGGCAGCAGAAGGGAAUCUUCCGCAAUAGGCGGAAGCCUGGCGGAGCAACGCCGCGUGAGUGAUGAAGGUCUUCAGAUCGUAAAACUCUGUUAUUAGGGGAGAACAAAUGUGUAAGUAACUAAGCACGUCUUGACGGUACCUAGUCAGAAAGCCACGGCUAACUACGUG
rnacentral:rRNA from 1 species